AAAUCUCCAAGAGGAGUCAGCCGACCCUGGCGGCUGAAACGGAGACUUUCUCCUGCGUUGAAAAUCAUUUUGAGACGGUUGUCCUCGGUUGCAACACGACACUUUGUGGGAAUUUUGAACAAGACCUGUGACCAAAAUGAAAGGGCAAGAUGCUUGAGUUGCUCAACAUGCAGACGCUGUUUGCUGAAAAAGCAGUUGAGAGUGAAUCGACUCUAGAGAAUCACAUCAAAACGUUCAGAGUAAACAUGGGGGUUUUUGCUUUGGUGCCUUUGGAACCAACAAGCAUCAGGAAGCUGUUGCUGUCCAGGAGAAUAAACAAAGUUGGCAAUGAGGGUUUGAGUCUCUCAGCUGCUCAAGACACAGAGAGACCAGCCCUAAUACACAGGGUGUGACCUCUCAGGUAGGUGAUGGCAUCCAGGAUGACUUGCAAGUUGAUCGCCUUCCACCUUCCUUCGAAUUGUGCUGAUGCUGCCCAACCUGGAAUAGUUGAAAAUAUUCUGCCCCGCUCCCCACAGAGGAUGAAGCUCGAGAAAGUCCAAGUGGAACUUCCAGAAAGGUAUCAUCAGAAGAAAUACUGAGGAUGAUCAAACAGGACAGCCAGUGGGGCUUUUUGUCGUCAAAAUGCUAACAUCCCACAGGGAAUGAGGAGAGGAGAGCAGAGCCCACCAGGCCGAACGCAUCUGAUUUCUAAGACCCUCAUCAAGUUCACAGCCCAGAAAGGCAUAAAGGGGAAAGUGUGCUGGGACCUGAAACUCUCACUCCACCCCUCAACCCCACCCCUGCACAUCAUGAAAACCAGCCUGGUGGAGCACUUUACCUGCCUAGCUUAUAGCAACGGCCACACACAGAGCAUAAUCUCUGAUUCUGUGAAGGCAACAAUAACUGCGUGUGUGGUUACCCUUGCCUUGCGCAUAAAUGACUUCCAGAUUUCCCUGAUAGUGUUACAGGCAAAAUGGCACACUAUGUCCUAAAUUUGGAUCAUCUGCAGAUACUUGUUCAUUCAAAAUGACCCUAGAGGGUUUUCGGAGGGGAAACGAGGAAAGGGGUUAUAACAUUUGAAAUGUAAAUAAAGAAAAUAUCCAAU
rnacentral:lncRNA from 1 species